GAUGAACGCUGGCGGCGUGCUUAACACAUGCAAGUCGAACGGUAAGGCCUUCGGGUACACGAGUGGCGAACGGGUGAGUAACACGUGGGUGAUCUGCCCUGCACUUUGGGAUAAGCCUGGGAAACUGGGUCUAAUACCGAAUAGGACUACGGCCUGCAUGGGUUGUGGUGGAAAGCUUUUGCGGUGUGGGAUGGGCCCGCGGCCUAUCAGCUUGUUGGUGAGGUGACGGCUCACCAAGGCGUAGACGGGUAGCAGGCCUGAGAGGGUGACCGGCCACUCUGGGACUGAGGUACGGCGCAGACUCCUACGGGGGGCAGCAGUGGGGAAUAUUUCACAAUGGGCGCGAGCCUGAUGCAGCGAUUCCGCGUGAGGGAUGACGGCCAUCGGGUUGUAAACCUCUUUCAGUAGGGACGAAGCGCAAGUGACGGUACCUAUAGAAGAAGGACCGGCCAACUACGUGCCAGCCGCCGCCGUAA
rnacentral:rRNA from 1 species